rnacentral:lncRNA from 1 species
CAUGGGUUAAACUCACUUCCAUUGAGUUAUAUGCUUUGUUAUCACUACAGGCAAGAGGCUUCAACCUAUAUACAGGAGACAGGCUGAAGGCCCAAAGGAAAAUUCCUCAUGAGGUGGCAUUUGUGUGGAGGACCAGUCUUUCCAGAAGGGACCCAGGCCAUUACAGUAACUUCCACUACUCUUGUGAGCUUCAAAUUGAUCUGGAUCGAUCUAUCCUCAGACCUUUUCAUCAGGCAAGUGAAAACAGAGAAGCAGGAAGGGAAGGCUGGGGCACCUCCACACUCCCUCCAUCAGUGGGUGGUGCUGGGGCGCUGGUCAUCUUCCAGUGACUGGGACGAAACAACGUCAAAGCAGAGCCCUGGGUCACUCAGGAAGGCAGGUGGGUACCCUGGUCCAGAGCAACCUUUCACAUUUCCCUGCAAAAGACCCCAUCACCAGCUCACCAACCACAUCUGGACUUCUGUCGAGUAAACAAAGAAUUUCUACUGCUCUCAGGCAGGCACUAACAUUAGCCAAGUAAGGGCUCUUUGGGGACUGGAGAAAGGAGGUUUGCAUUUGAAAAUGAACCACUGUACAUGGAUUUAUGGCAUUGCUUUUCUGACAGAGAGAGGGAAAUAUUUUUCUCUGGGAGAUUAGAAUUUACUAGUGGAUUCAAGUGUAACUUUGGAGAGUGGCGGAGGUAUUAGAUGUGGCAGUAUCACGGUAUUGUUUUAUUGGCAAUUAGAUUUCAAACUGGCACGAAUGUAUGAAAAUAAGGCUCAAUUAUGGGCCUGUGAAGUUUCCCCACCAUCUGUCAACAGUUUGCUCCUUAUGCCACAGCAUGUGUACCUUUGGAGGGGAAAUGAUUUAAUAGCCCAAGUGAAGAGGUACAGCUCACCAAAUCAUGCUGGGGUUUAUAGCCAAUGCCUGCAUUUAUGAUUUCUGAUGCAGGGAAAGAAAAUUUAAACUUGAGCAUCCACAUGUGGGUACACACACACAUAUAUGUGCGUGCACACACACAUUCCUCCCAGGGACUAAAACUGUCAGAAAUGCAAUGUAACUUCAAAAGAAGCGAGCUGAGCUUUCCCAGUUUAUAGCUGCAGAAAAGUAUGUCCAGGGAUAGCCAGUGACUUAUCCAAAUGAUUUGGGCACAUGGUCAGAGCUGGAGCGACAGCCACUAGGACACUUUGGGUGAGAGACAGAUG